rnacentral:lncRNA from 1 species
ACAUAAUUCUAUCCCUAUUGUCAGGUUGGGCCGAGUAGUUAGACCUUAUAGUAUUUUCUCAUUUCGCAAUGUUUGCAAAUCAAUAAGGAGAAAGCCUGAACAAUGAGGUGACAAGCUGGCCAGACCAGGCCCUCCUUAGACCCCAGUCGCCCAGGAGAGGGCCAAAUAUGGCCGAGCUUCACCACUGGCCAUGUAAGAAAGUGUCUAUCUCAUGCCUCCCUCAGUAUUAGUUCUGAGUGCUAAGUGUAGUAUGACCAGACCAAACACAGAGCCCUGGGAGAACAAUGGUCUGUCUCUGUGAGCCACUCCCCUUUGGUGCUUAUGGUCUCCUGAGCAAUGGUCACUUGGGGUGUGACUUGAAAAGGUGCAGAGGCUACCAGACUGGUCUAGGCAGGUGGACUUGGGGUAGGCAGAGCUGACUCAACAGUGGGGCCUUUUGCCUGGGUGGAGGUGUGUAGCUUGGCUCCUUUAGAGCCUCUGUAGACUGAGCACCCAAGUACAUGGGGACCAGCUAGUCACAGGGUUAAACAGAAUCUAUGAAUGAAUAUGUCAAUUGGUGACUUAUUUUUUUCUUAAAGAUGAAAGCCUGGAUUUUGUUUGGCUCCUGGGACUUCCUGUAUUCUUGCUUUUCUCCUUUUACAUCACUUCCAUCAAGAUGAUAUACUGUCUCAAGAUGAUUUCACUAAGGCUGGUGACAAAUUUGGAGAGCCCACAUUCCUAUCGCUAGCCUAGCCUCUGGCCUCAGCCUGCAUGUUUCUGGUGGAUUUCCAUAAUACAUGGCAUGCCAAUCCUGCCUGAAACUGAAGUGUUUAUUCCCACCCCACCCCACUCUUCUUUUAGAAAUGGCAACCCACUCAACCAGAUAAAGCCCCCAGGGUUCAGCCUCAUCCCACUGCUCUGCCACUUUUCUCCACCUGCCCAUUAACCAGCUCAGUUGGAUCUUUUCCAGCAUUCCUACAGACUCCAGCUCUCACCACCUGUCCAGCUUCUGGGGACACAUGGCAUCUUUCUAGCUUUCCUGCUGUCCGCCUUUCUAGCUAAAGCAUAGCCGGUGUAUGUCGGCUAAAAUACAAACAAGGCUGGCUUACUACCUUGCUCAGAACAUUCUAGGCACUUCUCAUUUCUUUUAGAAUAACUCCCAACCCCUCACUAACGGCCACAUAUGAGCACCCACCACGGGCUCCAGCACAGCAGCCUCUCCUUCUUUGAACUCACAUAAUUAUCCUGACAUACUUCCACACCCCUCCUUCCUCAGUCUUCUCUCCAGUGUCAUCUCCUACUCUCUGGUUCCAAAGGAGUGACACCACACCACAACCUGUGUCUUUUCUCCUCAAACUGACUAAAUCCCAGCAAAAAAAAAAAAGUCUCUAAAGUCUUAUCAUGUAUUUAAUAUUUGCUUCCUUCCUUAUUGUCUGUGUGUCCCAU